GUCAGGAUGGCCGAGUAGUUAAGGCGUUGGACUUGAAAUCCAAUGGGGUUUCCCCGCCCAGGUUUUUUAAAUAAUCUGGUUACUUUCUGUUA
rnacentral:tRNA from 1 species